GUAACACUUUAUUUGAAGGGGUCUACAUAAGGGUGACAUGUAACCGUCAUAAGAAUGACUUGACACAUAUCAUGUACAUUAAUGACACAUUAUUGAUAUGGAUGUGAAUGCCUCUGCAGUCCAUUGGCUAGACC